AUUUAAGAACACGCCUUAAGACAUGUGAUAAAUUUGAGCAUUUGGAGAACAUAACCUUAAAAAUUAUAUAAGGUUUGUUUACCUUUCUGGAUGUUACCAUUAAUUUUCGAAAUGUCCGCCUUGAAAAAUUCAUUCCUAAAAAUACCGAAACUUAAUAUCUACCAACUUAUGAAAUAUUCAAUAACUUCUAAAGAAUCUACAAAUGGACUCUAUUUUGAAUCAAAGAUUACCCAAGAAGAGAGUACAAAAGUUUUAAAUACUCUGAAUGAAUCAGAUCCAAUACAACUUUCCAGGUA